rnacentral:rRNA from 1 species
AGUGAACGCUGGCGGCAGGCCUAACACAUGCAAGUCGAACGGCAGCACAGUAAGCGCUCGCUCUUACGGGUGGCGACGGGCGGGUGGGUGAGACGUACAUCGCCUUCCAUUUUUUCUUGGGUGAUAACGUGGGGCAGCUUCUGCUAAUAGAGCAUACGUCCUACGGGUGGGAGCAGAGGAUCUUGGGAUUUUGUGUGAUUGUAUGAGCUGAUGUCGGAUUAGCUAGUUGGCGGGGUAAAGGCCCACCAAGGCGACGAUCCGUAGCUGGCCUGAGAGGAUGAUCAGCCACACUGGAACUGAGACACGGUCCAGACUCCUACGGGAGGCAGCAGUGGGGAAUAUUGGGCAAUGGGCGAAAGCCUGAUCCAGCCAUGCCGCGUGGGUGAAGAAGGCCUUCGGGUUGUAAAGCCCUUUUGUUGGGAAAGAAAAGCAGUAGGUUAAUACCCCGCUGUUCUGACGGUACCCAAAGAAUAAGCACCGGCUAACUUCGUG